rnacentral:rRNA from 1 species
GGGAAUCUACCCAGAUCUACGGAACAACAGUUGGAAACGACUGCUAAUACCGUAUACGCCCUACGGGGGAAAGAUUUAUCGGAUUUGGAUGAGCCCGCGUAAGAUUAGCUAGUUGGUGGGGUAAUGGCCUACCAAGGCGACGAUCUUUAGCUGGUCUGAGAGGAUGAUCAGCCACACUGGGACUGAGACACGGCCCAGACUCCUACGGGAGGCAGCAGUGGGGAAUAUUGGACAAUGGGCGCAAGCCUGAUCCAGCCAUGCCGCGUGAGUGAUGAAGGCCUUAGGGUUGUAAAGCUCUUUCAGUAGGGAAGAUAAUGACGGUACCUACAGAAGAAGCCCCGGCUAACUUCGUGCCAGCAGCCGCGGUAAUACGAAGGGGGCUAGCGUUGUUCGGAUUUACUGGGCGUAAAGCGCACGUAGGCGGUUUGUUAAGUCAGAGGUGAAAUCCCGGAGCUCAACUCCGGAACUGCCUUUGAUACUGGCAAGCUAGAGUCCGGAAGAGGUAAGUGGAACUCCUAGU